GUUGGUGUUGAUUGCGGUGAGGGUCCGCCCGUUCCCAUCCCGAACACGGAAGUUAAGCUCACCUGCGCCGAAAAUACUUGUCUGGAGACGGACCGGGAAGAUAGGUAACGCCGACA
rnacentral:rRNA from 1 species